rnacentral:rRNA from 1 species
AUUGAACGCUGGCGGCAGGCCUGACACAUGCAAGUCGAGCGAGCGGCGGACGGGUGAGUAAUGCCUAGGAAUCUGUCUGGUAGUGGGGGAUAACUACUGGAAACGGUGGCUAAUACCGCAUACUAUCGGAUGAACCCAUAUGGGAUUAGCUAGUAGGUGGGGUAAAGGCUCACCUAGGCGACGAUCUCUAGCUGGUCUGAGAGGAUGAUCAGCCACACUGGGACUGAGACAAGGCCUAGACUCCUACGGGAGGCAGCAGUGGGGAAUAUUGCACAAUGGGCGCAAGCCUGAUGCAGCCAUGCGGCGUGUAUGAAGAAGGCCUUAGGGUUGUAAAGUACUUUCAGCGUGGAGGCGUUACCCGCUGAAGAAGCACCUGAUAAGUCUGUGCCAGCAGCCGCUGUAAUUC